AACGAGUUAUCUGAACCUUCGGGGAACGAUAACGGCGUCGAGCGGCGGACGGGUGAGUAAUGCCUAGGAAAUUGCCCUGAUGUGGGGGAUAACCAUUGGAAACGAUGGCUAAUACCGCAUAAUGCCUACGGGCCAAAGAGGGGGACCUUCGGGCCUCUCGCGUCAGGAUAUGCCUAGGUGGGAUUAGCUAGUUGGUGAGGUAAUGGCUCACCAAGGCGACGAUCCCUAGCUGGUCUGAGAGGAUGAUCAGCCACACUGGAACUGAGACACGGUCCAGACUCCUACGGGAGGCAGCAGUGGGGAAUAUUGCACAAUGGGCGCAAGCCUGAUGCAGCCAUGCCGCGUGUGUGAAGAAGGCCUUCGGGUUGUAAAGCACUUUCAGUCGUGAGGAAGGUGGURUWGUUAAUAGCWCUAUCAUUUGACGUUAGCGACAGAAGAAGCACCGGCUAACUCCGUGCCAGCAGCCGCGGUAAUACGGAGGGUGCGAGCGUUAAUCGGAAUUACUGGGCGUAAAGCGCAUGCAGGUGGUUUGUUAAGUCAGAUGUGAAAGCCCGGGGCUCAACCUCGGAAUAGCAUUUGAAACUGGCAGACUAGAGUACUGUAGAGGGGGGUAG
rnacentral:rRNA from 1 species